rfam:Felis catus isolate Cinnamon breed Abyssinian chromosome C2, whole genome shotgun sequence.
GCCUGGGUGGCUCAGUUGGUUAAGCGUCCGACUUCGGCUCAGGUCACGAUCUGGCGGUAUGUGGGUUCGAGCCCCGCGUCGGGCU